rnacentral:rRNA from 1 species
AUGUCUAAGUUCUACUGGACAAUGCUUAUUUGGCUAGAUGCUCAUAGGUUAAGUUAUUUGAUGCAUUGCUUUCACUAUCAAAUUGUUCGCUGCUUUGAGCAUCUGGCUGCAUACUGUAUUGUAUUAUUUUUGGUGCACUGGACCAAGAGAGCGCAGAGGGAGAUCUUCUCUGUCGCGCCGGCGGCAGCAACAGGGAAAAUCCAGUCCACGGUGCCACCAAUGAGAAAGGUAAAGACGAGCUGUCGGUCACUUAUUAAUUCCGUGCCCCUAGCUAUAGUGUCGAUCAACAAAUGGCUCGACCUGUCCUUAAGGUAA